rnacentral:rRNA from 1 species
UACGUAGGGUGCAAGCGUUGUCCGGAAUUAUUGGGCGUAAAGAGCUCGUAGGCGGUCUGUCGCGUCGGCUGUGAAAACCCGGGCUCACCCGGGCCUGCAGGUCGAUACGGGCAGACUAGAGUGCGGUAGGGGAGACUGGAAUUCCUGGUGGAGCGGUGAAAUGCGCAGAUAUCAGGAGGAACACCGGUGGCGAAGGCGGGUCUCUGGGCCGUAACUGACGCUGAGGAGCGAAAGCGUGGGGAGCGAACAGG